GCGCUCGUGGUGGAACCGGCAGACACACCUGAUUCAAAAUCAGGCGCUCAUCGAGCGUGUGGGUUCGACUCCCACCGUGCGCACCA
rnacentral:tRNA from 1 species